rnacentral:rRNA from 1 species
CCUACGGGGGGCUGCAGUGGGGAAUAUUGCACAAUGGGCGCAAGCCUGAUGCAGCCAUGCCGCGUGUGUGAAGAAGGCCUUCGGGUUGUAAAGCACUUUCAGCGGGGAGGAAGGUGGUGAGGUUAAUAACCUCAUCGAUUGACGUUACCCGCAGAAGAAGCACCGGCUAACUCCGUGCCAGCAGCCGCGGUAAUACGGAGGGUGCAAGCGUUAAUCGGAAUUACUGGGCGUAAAGCGCACGCAGGCGGUCUGUCAAGUCGGAUGUGAAAUCCCCGGGCUCAACCUGGGAACUGCAUUCGAAACUGGCAGGCUAGAGUCUUGUAGAGGGGGGUAGAAUUCCAGGUGUAGCGGUGAAAUGCGUAGAGAUCUGGAGGAAUACCGGUGGCGAAGGCGGCCCCCUGGACAAAGACUGACGCUCAGGUGCGAAAGCGUGGGGAGCAAACAGGAUUAGAUACCCCUGUAGUC